AUGCAGUUCGAACGGUAACAGGUCUUCGGAUGCUGACGAGUGGCGAACGGGUGAGUAAUACAUCGGAACGUGCCCGAUCGUGGGGGAUAACGAAGCGAAAGCUUUGCUAAUACCGCAUACGAUCUACGGAUGAAAGCAGGGGACCGCAAGGCCUUGCGCGAACGGAGCGGCCGAUGGCAGAUUAGGUAGUUGGUGGGAUAAAAGCUUACCAAGCCGACGAUCUGUAGCUGGUCUGAGAGGACGACCAGCCACACUGGGACUGAGACACGGCCCAGACUCCUACGGGAGGCAGCAGUGGGGAAUUUUGGACAAUGGGCGAAAGCCUGAUCCAGCCAUGCCGCGUGCAGGAUGAAGGCCUUCGGGUUGUAAACUGCUUUUGUACGGAACGAAAAGACUCUGGUUAAUACCUGGGGUCCAUGACGGUACCGUAAGAAUAAGCACCGGCUAACUACGUGCCAGCAGCCGCGGUAAUACGUAGGGUGCAAGCGUUAAUCGGAAUUACUGGGCGUAAAGCGUGCGCAGGCGGUUAUAUAAGACAGAUGUGAAAUCCCCGGGCUCAACCUGGGAACUGCAUUUGUGACUGUAUAGCUAGAGUACGGCAGAGGGGGAUGGAAUUCCGCGUGUAGCAGUGAAAUGCGUAGAUAUGCGGAGGAACACCGAUGGCGAAGGCAAUCCCCUGGGCCUGUACUGAC
rnacentral:rRNA from 1 species